AACACACCACAUCCAAGUGAUUCAAACUAUAUGUCAUUCUCCCAUACCCUACCAUACAAAACCAACUCACCAGAACAAGGUGGUUUGAGUGGUUUUUCACUCUCAGCACAAACCUAUCUUCCUUGCUCCUAAAGGACUUACGAGUAAAAACUUGGAUACUGUUCAUAUCGAACACUAUACUUAGCAUGAGUCGAAAACCUACAUGCAAGACAUUCUUCCUUUCCUCCCGCUUCGCAAGAGAAUUUGUACUCGAACCUCAUCUCUUUUACCGCCUUUCAUAGACGAAUAAAACCACCUUUCUACUACCUUAGAAGA
rnacentral:lncRNA from 1 species